AAACCGCUCGGAGGUAAACGGGUGGAGCCGUAGCGUCGGCUCGCGGAAUUCAGCCCGGCGCGGUCCGGGGUCGGCUCUGGGGACUGUCGCGAUCCUAAGGACGCGUGCCCUGGAGGCCGGCUCGACACCGGGUGCACUUUCCGCGGGCAGAGAGUCUCGAUCGGCUGACGGGCGACCAGGCGGCCCGGAGCAAGUCAGGCGCCGCGGACGCAAGUCUGUGGCGCCGUUGUCAGGCUCCGGGAAAGAAGGCUCGCUCAACGUCGGCCGAGGAACUGCGGCCUCGGCGGCUGCCGGCCCACGCGGCGGAGUCACGACUGAGAGGGACCGGGCAACCGUGCCUCUCGACCGCUCCGACGUGCACGGCGCCGGCGCACGCUGCCGAGGAUGCCAGGAUCAGAGGCCGAUCGGUCGGCGACCCACCCGACCCGUCUUGAAACACGGACCAAGGAGUCUAACGUGCGCGCGAGUCGUCGAGUCGUACGAAACUCGAAGGCGCAGUGAAAGCGAGGGAGGUCCUCCGGACUUCCCAGGCGAGAUCCCUCGGCAUGGGGGCGCACCGCCGGCCCGUCUCGAGGUCGUCGGACCUGAGGCGGAGCUAGAGCGCGCGCGCUGGGACCCGAAAGAUGGUGAACUAUGCCUGGGCAGGACGAAGCCAGAGGAAACUCUGGUGAAAGUCCGCAGCGAUUCUGACGUGCAAAUCGAUCGUCGAAUCUGGGUAUAGGGGCGAAAGACUAAUCGAACCAUCUAGUAGCUGGUUCCCUC
rnacentral:rRNA from 1 species